rnacentral:snRNA from 1 species
AUAGUUUCUCAGCCUUUUGGCUAAGAUCAAGUGUAAAAUUUUAUCUGUGACUAGCCUGACUUGAGUCAAGUGCAUUUCUCAGCAAUCAGCUAUGGCUGAGAAUAGAAUGUGUAGAUGUUUAGAUUGGUUUGCUCUAAAUUCUUUAUAUUCCAC